AUUGAACGCUGGCGGCAUGCUUUACACAUGCAAGUCGAACGGUAACAGGCCUUCGGGUGCUGACGAGUGGCGAACGGGUGAGUAAUGCAUCGGAACGUACCCAGAGGUGGGGGAUAACGCAGCGAAAGCUGUGCUAAUACCGCAUGUGAUCUGAGGAUGAAAGCGGGGGACCGAGCAGCAAUGUUUGGCCUCGCGCCUUUGGAGCGGCCGAUGUCGGAUUAGCUAGUUGGUGGGGUAAAGGCCUACCAAGGCGACGAUCCGUAGCUGGUCUGAGAGGACGACCAGCCACACUGGGACUGAGACACGGCCCAGACUCCUACGGGAGCCAGCAGUGGGGAAUUUUGGACAAUGGGCGCAAGCCUGAUCCAGCAAUGCCGCGUGCGGGAAGAAGGCCUUCGGGUUGUAAACCGCUUUUGGCAGGAACGAAACGGUGUCCGCUAAUACCGGGCGCUAAUGACGGUACCUGCAGAAUAAGCACCGGCUAACUACGUG
rnacentral:rRNA from 1 species